UACAGAGGAGCCAAGCGUUGUCCGGAUUGACUGGGCGUAAAGCGCACGCAGGCGGUUGCGCGCGUGGGGUGUGAAAUCUGGCCGCUUAACGGCCAGGCGCCAUCCCAUACGGCGCGACUGGAGUGAUGCAGAGGUCGAUGGAAUUUCCGGUGUAGCGGUGAAAUGCGUAGAGAUCGGAAGGAACAUCAGUGGCGAAGGCGGCUACCUGGACUGACACUGACACUGAGGCGCGAAAGCGUGGGGAGCGAACAGG
rnacentral:rRNA from 1 species